GUUUACUUAAACUGUCUACCUGUUCAAAGAAUUGUUCUCCAGGAGCAACAGGCACCACCAUCGCCGCCAAACAGGCAUGUCAUGCUGAAAUUGUUGUUUGUAUUUCAUUUUAGUGCACAAUACAAAAUACAAUCUUGAGGAUGACACUGCGUGUUGAAAAGUACUUACAACUGAGUAGUCAAACUGUGACUCCAUAACGAUGUACAUGGCAGACUUAAAAAAAAAUUAUGAGACAACAUGUGAGAUAACUUUAAAAAAGUCCAUGUUGGAAAGUUAUUCUAGAUACAAUAUUUGUGCAUUACAGCUCGUUAUGACCUACCAUCAACAUGAAUAUGCCACAGUCUGAGCCGAAGUCCUGGCUGGGGAAGCCCUGAUUUAACAAAAGCAAACGUUAAUCAUCUUGUCACAUACACUUUGUAGGAGCCAGAUUGGGGUUUUGCAGUUUAUUGUUAUGUAUUUUUUGUGCCAGCAGAUGGUGCUAUUGUGCCUGUCUAUUUAAUGGGUGGGUUGAUUAGGAGAGGUGCGCACAUAAAAUGAUGAAUGAGUAAAUAAAUCAAAACAACAGAAAAUGUGUGUGACAUGUGACAUUAUUCCACCCGCGGGCACGCAUCAACUCAAGCAAAAAGGUGUUCGCCACAAGUAACAGCAUUGGAAAGCUGUUAUACACUUUUCAACUGUAAUAUAGAGCAUGCACAAAUACCUCCAAAUCUCUGCCCGUUUUCUCAGUCCAUUGCCCAGGCCAUAUCUUCUGCGCAAUGUUCCUGUUAAUUUGAGAGCGUCACUUAGAUUUCCCAUGAUGGAAACAAUGGAAUGCAGGGUUAGGGUUAGUUUGAGUGGUCGGAGGUGAGAUUGAAUGAAUGCGGACGGCUUGCUUCUUUUCAAACUUCCUGAGAGUUCUUCUUCUUCUGUAAAUUUUGCCGUCAGAAAGUGUAGGUGCAUACCGCCACCUACUGUUCUGGCAUCGCAAAGCAGAAGUUCAAAGUUCAUGUUUUGGGUCCGCCAAUCGGAGGUAAUGCGGAAACUUAUUGCGUUUUGUAAAUGUGGUUUUCUAUCUUUGGGUCCGCCAUCUUGGCGCUGCAUCUGGGUACCCUUGCCUGUAAGACCUGUCGCUAAUGUCUGCAUGCUAUGUUUUCCUGUCUCAUACAGCGCGAUCGAGCGCCGAACGUGAUCAAAAUAAGCAGAAAAAAAGUAUCGCGGACAUAAUUUAUCAUAACUCUGGUUUUAUUUGGCCUAUCAACACAAUUUAAAAACUGGUAUAUAGGUUGAGGUCCUCACUUUUGAGAUAAGUUGAAACGGAGAGUCAACGAGGCUCCGUCUUGCAGCUACAUCCGGUUAAAUAUGUCAUGUGACUUGAACGCACACACAGACACACACACACGCACACACACACACACACACACACACACACACACACACACACACACACUCAGAGUCUGGUUUUUAGCACCUGCAAAAACAUGCUAUUUACAUAUUUGACAAGAAUGCAGAGGCUCCUUUUGCCCCUGAAAAAAAUCAAAUUUCAAACACAACUUGACUGGUCAUUUCUCCAAAAGACAACCAUGAAGCUCCAUCCAAACCUGAAGCAGGCAGUUGGUGCAUGUGUACAGUAACCUGAGGGGAGUGAGGUGACUGCUUCUGAGGAGAACAUGAGCAGUGAAGAUUCACCUUGGAGCUAGAACAGAGACAUGCACAUGAUUAUACAGGGGCAGGGGCUCAAGUUUUUUCCAGUCGUUUAUACAAUAUGGAAAUUAAUGUGAAAUUAAAAAACAAAGUAUUAAUAGAAAGGUAAUGACUGUCCUGUGUAGGUGACAGUGAUAUCGAAUAGGCUAGGCACUCACGAGGCUGGCUGUGGCAAGUGUAAGUGAAAGCAACACGCACUGGCAGGAAGAACAGCAAACGCCGAUGAAGGAAAAGGGUCUUUGCAGUGAUGGGCGUUACCAGAGAGGGCGAUGGCCAGAGGACACAAAUGGGACGGGGAGGCAGCACGUUGGGGGGGGGGGGGCGACACGGCUCGGGCCCGCCAGUGCCCCAACGGGGUCCUAGUUCUUUCUUUCUUAGGGCCCGAGCGUAGCUGCUAAGCAGCUGCGAGAGCCCUCUUGUUCCUGAUGGAUUCUUCUUUCGUUAUUUUUCCUCCGCUUUAAACUGGAAAAUGGCCCACUUCCCACUGACGAAAACUCAGGAAAUUUGGCAGGACGACCGGGCCUGGUGAAAAAUUUGAUAUUCUGAAGUCGCCCAAACAAAAAAAUGAAAAAUGGCUCCAUAGCGCCCCCUAUGGUGAAAAUUCACACUAUUGACUGUCACGCCUGUACGCUUUGUCAAAAUGACACAAAAAUUGACACACACAUGUAUCUCAAUAAGAUCUACAAAAAAGUCAGUGCGGGCGUAUCUGUCAAAUGUACGGUUAAAGGGUUAUUUCGCAUUUUUUGCCGAUCCGCACACAUUGGAAUUUCGCUAACUCCUCCGAAGGCUUUCGUUCCACCGGCAUCACAUUUGCUCAGGCCAAUCUACACCCCAUGGCCAUUAAAAGUUAUUCAAAUCAUGACCCUGCACCCCACGGUUUAGGUUCUAGGGGGCGCCAAAGAUAACACUAAAAUCCACAUAUUUAAAAGUCUUAUAACUUUUUAUUUUUUGCCCUCACUGGCCUCCAAGUUUUCUAGGAUGAUGCAAUGUCCAGCCAUCAACACAUUUGUGAAGGAAUUUUUACUCCCCAAAAGAGCGCCCCCCCAUGGCAGGAGAAAAAAGUCCAUUUUUUCUUGUCCCCUAAGGUGAAAAUACACAUUGUUGAGUGUCACGCCUGUACGCUUUGUCAAAAUGACACAAAAAUUGACACACACAUGUAUCUCAAUAAGAUCUACAAAAAAGUCAAUGCGCGCGUAUCUGUAUAAUGUACGGUAAAAGGGCUAUUUUGCAUUUUUUGCCGAUUCGCACACAUUGGAAUUUCGCUAACUCCUCCUAAGGCUUUCGUCCCACUGACACCAAAUUUGCUCAGGCCAAUCUACACUCCAUGGCCAUUCAAAGUUGUAAAAAUCAUGACGCUGCACCCCACGGUUUACGUUUUAGGGGGCGCCAAAGAUGACCCAAAUAUACAUUACAGUAGACAAAGUAGUUUUGCCCACUGAGUGGCGCCAAAGGGACUUGUCUGUGGAGUCUGUGAGUCACUAUUGGCCGUUUUUGACUACUUUAGAUUUUACCUUUAUAUUUCCUCUUACAAAAUUUUUACCUUGCCUUGCCUGGUAUCAUUUUUUUCAGCACAACCUCACCUGUGUCAAUUUACAGUUAUUUUAUCAUUUUGACAUACUAUAUUUACACAUUGGACCCAAAUUCACACACAAAACAUAAAAUCCGAGUGGAAAAAAGUAACGUUUUUACUGUGAAAACCACAAAUAUGUGUGAUGAACUGUUUUUAAAACUUAAACUUCAAAUAAAAAUUGUAAACUUCAAAACAUAUGCAAAUUUUUAACAAAGAACAUAGUAAUUUACCUCUAUUUACAUCAAAAUGCAGGCAAUGGCCCAGGUGUUCUUUGUAAAAUUAUUUACAAAACACUGUAUAGUCUCACAAAUGUCACUUUUUAUUUAUGCCACUACAAAAAAACAUGAUGUAAAUGAUGCAUGAUGUAAAACAUGAUGUAAAAAACUUGUGUAGAUCCUCCUCUAUGUUAGUCCAUGUGUAAUUUUUCCAUAAUUCUUUGUUUUUUGCAGCAUUUUUGUUAGUGUAACUGCAGAUUGUGCUGACAGUGUCUAUGGCAAAAAAAAAAAAAAAAAACUGAAAAUGCCUCAACAUGAACCCCUGGUGGUCUCUGAGGGUGAAACCUGCUAACUGCUGCAGCUCUGUCAGCUUCAGUCUCCCAUGCAGAGCUCGGAGCGCAUGUGUGGCUCUGCACCCUUAGCAGCGUUGCUAACUCCUCAGUAAGGAAAGCCUGCUUCAUGUCAGAGUCUCUAAACUCCAGAAGAAGUCGAUAAAAGUCACUUUCUUUCUAAAAAAAAGUCGUUAGGGGGUCUGAAAAGUAAUUGAAUCUAACAACAAAGUCGCUAGGUUUGCAACUACGUGUCCCAGACUGCAUCCCUGCUGAGAGUCCCUCCCUCCCUUCUCAUAUUGGAGGAAGAACGUAAGCGCCCGCCCCUUGUCAAUCAGUCACCAUAUAAUUUUGGAUUGGUUGUUGUGGUGAAGUUUUCCACCAAUAGGAGAGAUGUUGUGGUGUGUUUUUUUUUUCCUUUGGCAAGCCUUUUCCGCUGUAAGACCUGUCGCUAAUGUCUGCAUGCUAUGUUUUCCUGUCUCAUACAGCGCGAUCGAGCGCCGAACGUGAUCAAAAUAAGCUGAAAACAAGUAUCGCGGACAUAAUUUAUCAUAACUCUGGUUUUAUUUGGCCUAUCAACACAAUUUAAAAACUGGUAUAUAGGUUGAGGUCCUCACUUUUGAGAUAAGUUGAAACGGAGAGUCAAUGAGGCUCCGUCUUGCAGCUACAUCCGGUUAAAUAUGUCAUGUGACUUGAACGCACACACACACACACACACACACACACACACACACACACACACACACACAGACACACACACACACGCACACACACACACCCAGAGUCUGGUUUUUAGCACCUGCAAAAACAUGCUAUUUACAUAUUUGACAAGAAUGCAGAGGCUCCUUUUGCCCCUGAAAAAAAUCAGAUUUCAAACACAACUUGACUGGUCAUUUCUCCAAAAGACAACCAUGAAGCUCCAUCCAAACCUGAAGCAGGCAGUUGGUGCAUGUGUACAGUAACCUGAGGGGAGUGAGGUGACUGCUUCUGAGGAGAACAUGAGCAGUGAAGAUUCACCUUAGAGCUAGAACAGAGACGUGCACAUGAUUAUACAGGGGCAGGGGCUCAAGUUUUUUCCAGUUGUUUAUACAAUAUGGAAAUUAAUGUGAAAUUAAAAAACAAAGUAUUAAUAGAAAGGUAAUGACUGUCCUGUGUAGGUGACAGUGAUAUCCAAUAGGCUAGGCACUCACGAGGCUGGCUGUGGCAAGUGUAAGUGAAAGCAACACGCACUGGCAGGAAGAACAGCAAACGCCGAUGAAGGAAAAGGGUCUUUGCAGUGAUGGGCGUUACCAGAGAGGGCGAUGGCCAGAGGACGCGAAUGGGACGGGGAGGCAGCGCGUUGGGGGGGGGACGCGACACAGCUCGGGCCCGCCAGUGCCCCAACGGGGUCCUAGUUUCUUCUUUUUCCUCCCCUUUGAACUGGAAAAUGGCCCACUUCCCACUGGCGAAAACUCAUGAAAUUUGGCAGGACGACCGGGCCUGGUGAAAAAUUUGAUAUUCCGAAGUCGCCCAAACAAGAAAAUGCAAAAUGGCUCCAUAGCGCCCCCUAAGGUGAAAAUUCACACUAUUGACUGUCACGCCUGUACGCUUUGUCAAAAUGACACAAAAAUUGACACACACAUGUAUCUCAAUAAGAUCUACAAAAAAGUCAGUGCGGGCGUAUCUGUCAAAUGUACGGUUAAAGGGUUAUUUCGCAUUUUUUGCCGAUCCGCACACAUUGGAAUUUCGCUAACUCCUCCGAAGGCUUUCGUUCCACCGGCACCACAUUUGCUCAGGCCAAUCUACACCCCAUGGCCAUUAAAAGUUAUUCAAAUCAUGACGCUGCACCCCACUGUUUAGGUUCUAGGGGGCGCCAAAGAUAACCCUAAGAUCCACAUAUUUAAAAGUCUUAUAACUUUUUAUUUUUGCCCUCACUGGCCUCCAAGUUUUCUAGGAUGAUGCAAUGUCCAGCCAUCAACACAUUUGUGAAGGAAUUUUUACUCCCCAAAAGAGCGCCCCCCCAUGGCAGGAGAAAAAAGUCCAUUUUUUCUUGUCCCCUAAGGUGAAAAUACACAUUGUUGAGUGUCACGCCUAUACGCUUUGUCAAAAUGACACAAAAAUUGACACACACAUGUAACUCAAUAAGAUCUACAAAAAAGUCCAUGCGCGCGUAUCUGUCAAAUGUACAGUUAAAGGGUUAUUCCGCAUUUUUUGCCGAUACGCACACAUUGGAAUUUCGCUAACUCCUCCGAAGGCUUUCUGUCUACCGGCACCACAUUUGCUCAGGCCAAUCUACACCCCAUGGCCAUUAAAAGUUAUUCAAAUCAUGAUGCUGCACCCCAUGGUUUAGGUUCUAGGGGGCGCCAAAAAUAACCCAAAAAUCCACAUUCUUAAAUGUUUUAUAACUUUUUAUUUUUGUCCUCACUGGCCUCCAAGUUUUCUAGGAUGAUGCAAUGUCCAGCCAUCAACACAUUUGUGAAGGAAUUUUUACUCCCCAAAAGAGCGCCUCCCCAUGGUAGGAGAAAAAAGUCAAUUUUUUCUUGUCCCCUUACAUAAAAAUACACAUUGUUGAGUGUCACGCCUGAACGCUUUGUCAUAUUGACACAAAAAUUGACAAUCAUGUGUAUCUCAAUUAGAUCUACGAAAAAGUCAAAGAGCGCGUACCUGUUUAAUGUACGGUUAAAGGGCUAUUUUGCAUUUUUUGCCGAUUCGCACACAUUGGAAUGUGGCUAUCUCCUCCUAAGGCUUUCGUCCCACCGAUACCAAAUUUGCUCAGGGCAAUCUACACCCCAUGCCCAUUCAAAGUUGUAAAAAUCAUGACGCUGCACCCCACGGUUUACGUUCUAGGGGGCGCCAAAGAUGACCCAAAAAUCCACAUUCUUAAAAGUCAUUUUGGCCACUGCAGGAGUACAGAGUACUGCAGUUCUAGGGGGCGCCAAAGAUGACCCAAAAAUCCACAUUCUUAAAAGUCUUUUUGGCCACUGCAGGAGUACAGAGUACUGCAGGAUACACACACAUAUACACACACGCCAACAUACACACACACACACACACACACACACACACACACACACACACACAGACACACACACACACUCAGAGUCUGUUUUUUAGCACCUGCAAAAACAUGCUGUUUACAUAUUUGACAAGAAUGCAGAGGCUUCCUUUUGCCCCUGAAAAAAAUCAAAUUUCAAACACAACUUGACUGUUCAUUUCUCCAAAAGACAACCAUGAAGCUCCAUUUCAAACCUGAAGCAGAUAGUUGGUGCAUGUGUACAGUAACCUGAGGGGAGUGAGGUGACUAUUUCUGAGGAGAACAUGAGCAGUGAAGAUUCACCUUGGAGCUAGAACAGGGACGUGCACAUGAUUAUACAGGGGCAGGGGCUCAAGUUUUUUCCAGUCAUUUAUACAAUAUGGAAAUUAAUGUGAAAUUAAACCACAAAUAUGUGUGAUGAACUGUUUUUAAAACUUAAACUUCAAAUAAAAAUUGUAAACUUCAAAACAUAUGCAAAUUUUUAACAAAGAACAUAGUAAUUUACCUCUAUUUACAUCAAAAUGCAGGCAAUGGCCCAGGCGUUCUUUGUAAAAUUAUUUACAAAACACUGCAUAGUCUCACAAAUGUCACUUUUUAUUUAUGCCACUACAAAAAAACAUGAUGUAAAUGAUGCAUGAUGUAAAACAUGAUGUAAAAAACUUGUGUAGAUCCUCCUCUAUGUCAGUCCAUGUGUAAUUUUUCCAUAAUUCUUUGUUUUUUGCAGCAUUUUUGUUAGUGUAACUGCAGAUUGUGCUGACAGUGUCUAUGGCACAAAAAAAAAAAAAUUAAAAUGCCUCAACAUGAACCCCUGGUGGUCUCUGAGGGUGAAACCUGCUAACUGCUGCAGCUCUGUCAGCUUCAGUCUCCCAUGCAGAGCUCUGAGCGCAUGUGUGGCUCUGCACCCUUAGCAGCGUUGCUAACUCCUCAGUAAGGAAAGCCUGCUUCAUGUCAGAGUCUCUAAACUCCAGAAGAAGUCGAUAAAAGUCCCUUUCUUUCUAAAAAAAAGUCGUUAGGGUGUCUGAAAAGUCAUUGAAUCUAACAACAAAGUCGCUAGGUUUGCAACUACGUGUCCCAGACUGCAUCCCUGCUGAGAGUCCCUCCCUCCCUUCUCAUGUUGCAGGAAGAACGUAAGCGCCCGCCCCUUGUCAAUCAGUCACCAUAUAAUUUUGGAUUGGUUGUUGUGGUGAAGUUUUCCACCAAUAGGAGAGAUGUUGUGGUGUGUUUUUUUUUUCUUUUGGCAAGCCUUUUCCGCCUGUAAGACCUGUCGCUAAUGUCUGCAUGCUAUGUUUUCCUGUCUCAUACAGCGCGAUCGAGCGCCGAACGUGAUCAAAAUAAGCAGAAAAAAAGUAUCGCGGACAUAAUUUAUCAUAACUCUGGUUUUAUUUGGCCUAUCAACACAAUUUAAAAACUGGUAUAUAGGUUGAGGUCCUCACUUUUGAGAUAAGUUGAAACGGAGAGUCAACGAGGCUCCGUCUUGCAGCUACAUCCGGUUAAAUAUGUCAUGUGACUUGAACGCACACAUAGACACACACACACACACACACACACACACACACACACACACACACACACACACACACUCAGAGUCUGGUUUUUAGCACCUGCAAAAACAUGCUAUUUACAUAUUUGACAAGAAUGCAGAGGCUCCUUUUGCCCCUGAAAAAAAUCAAAUUUCAAACACAACUUGACUGGUCAUUUCUCCAAAAGACAACCAUGAAGCUCCAUCCAAACCUGAAGCAGGCAGUUGGUGCAUGUGUACAGUAACCUGAGGGGAGUGAGGUGAGUGCUUCUGAGGAGAACAUGAGCAGUGAAGAUUCACCUUGGAGCUAGAACAGAGACAUGCACAUGAUUAUACAGGGGCAGGGGCUCAAGUUUUUUCCAGUCGUUUAUACAAUAUGGAAAUUAAUGUGAAAUUAAAACACAAAGUAUUAAUAGAAAGGUAAUGACUGUCCUGUGUAGGUGACAGUGAUAUCCAAUAGGCUAGGCACUCACGAGGCUGGCUGUGGCAAGUGUAAGUGAAAGCAACACGCACUGGCAGGAAGAACAGCAAACGCCGAUGAAGGAAAAGGGUCUUUGCAGUGAUGGGCGUUAACAGAGAGGGCGAUGGCCAGAGGACACAAAUGGGACGGGGAGGCAGCACGUUGGGGGGGGGAGACACGACACGGCUCGGGCCCGCCAGUGCCCCAACGGGGUCCUAGUUUCUUUUUCCUCCCCUUUGAACUGGAAAAUGGCCCACUUCCCACUGGCGAAAACUCAUGAAAUUUGGCAGGACGACCGGGCCUGGUGAAAAAUUUGAUAUUCCGAAGUCGCCCAAACAAGAAAAUGCAAAAUGGCUCCAUAGCGCCCCCUAAGGUGAAAAAUUCACCUGACGCCUGUACGCUUUGUCAAAAUGACACAAAAAUUGACACACACAUGUAUCUCAAUAAGAUCUACAAAAAAGUCAGUGCGGGCGUAUCUGUCAAAUGUACGGUUAAAGGGUUAUUGCGCAUUUUUUGCCGAUCCGCACACAUUGGAAUUUCGCUAACUCCUCCGAAGGCUUUCGUUCCACCGGCACCACAUUUGCUCAGGCCAAUCUACACCCCAUGGCCAUUAAAAGUUAUUCAAAUCAUGACGCUGCACCCCACGGUUUAGGUUCUAGGGGGCGCCAAAGAUAACACUAAAAUCCACAUAUUUCAAAGUCUUAUAACUUUUUAUUUUUGUCCUCACUGGCCUCCAAGUUUUCUAGGAUGAUGCAAUGUCCAGCCAUCAACACAUUUGUGAAGGAAUUUUUACUCCCCAAAAGAGCGCCCCCCCAUGGCAGGAGAAAAAAGUCCAUUUUUUCUUGUCCCCUAAGGUGAAAAUACACAUUGUUGAGUGUCACGCCUGUACGCUUUGUCAAAAUGACACAAAAAUUGACACACACAUGUAUCUCAAUAAGAUCUACAAAAAAGUCAAUGGGCGCGUAUCUGUCAAAUGUACGGUUAAAGGGUUAUUCCGCAUUUUUUGCCGAUUCGCACACAUUGGAAUUUCGCUAACUCCUCCGAAGGCUUUCGUUCCACCGGCACCACAUUUGCUCAGGCCAAAUUACACCCCAUGGCCAUUAAAAGUUAUUCAAAUCAUGACGCUGCACCCCACGGUUUACGUUCUAGGGGGCGCCAAAGAUAACCCAAAAAUCCAAAUUUUUAAAAGUCUUAUAACUUUUUAUUUUUGUCCUCACUGGCCUCCAAGUUUUCUAGGAUGAUGCAAUGUCCAGCCAUCAACACAUUUGUGAAGGAAUUUUUACUCCCUAAAAGAGCGCCCCCCCAUGGCAGGAGAAAAAAGUCCAUUUUUUCUUGUCCCCUAAGGUGAAAAUACACAUUGUUGACUGUCACGCCUGUACGCUUUGGCAAAAUGACACAAAAAUUGACAAUCAUGUGUAUCUCAAUUAGAUCUACGAAAAAGUCAACAGCGCGUAUCUGUAUAAUGUACGGUAAAAGGGCUAUUUUGCAUUUUUUGCCGAUUCGCACAUAUUGGAAUUUCGCUAACUCCUCCUAAGGCUUUCGUCCCACUGACACCAAAUUUGCUCAGGCCAAUCUACACUCCAUGGCCAUUCAAAGUUGUAAAAAUCAUGACGCGGCACCCCACGGUUUACGUUUUAGGGGGCGCCAAAGAUGACCCAAAUAUACAUUACAGUAGACAAAGUAGUUUUGCCCACUUAGUGGCGCCAAAGGGACUUGUCUGUGGAGUCUGUGAGUCACUAUUGGCCGUUUUUGACUACUUUAGAUUUUACCUUUAUAUUUCCUCUUACAAAAUUUUUACCUUGCCUUGCCUGGUAUAAUUUUUUUCAGCACAACCUCACCUGUGUCAAUUUACAGUUAUUUUAUCAUUUUGACAUACUAUAUUUACACAUUGGACCCAAAUUCACACACAAAACAUAAAAUCCGAGUGGAAAAAAGUAACGUUUUUACUGUGAAAACCACAAAUAUGUGUGAUGAACUGUUUUUAAAACUUAAACUUCAAAUAAAAAUUGUAAACUUCAAAACAUAUGCAAAUUUUUAACAAAGAACAUAGUAAUUUACCUCUAUUUACAUCAAAAUGCAGGCAAUGGCCCAGGCGUUCUUUGUAAAAUUAUUUACAAAACACUGUAUAGUCUCACAAAUGUCACUUUUUAUUUAUGCCACUACAAAAAAACAUGAUGUAAAUGAUGCAUGAUGUAAAACAUGAUGUAAAAAACUUGUGUAGAUCCUCCUCUAUGUCAGUCCAUGUGUAAUUUUUCCAUAAUUCUUUGUUUUUUGCAGCAUUUUUGUUAGUGUAACUGCAGAUUGUGCUGACAGUGUCUAUGGCAAAAAAAAAAAAAAAAACUGAAAAUGCCUCAACAUGAACCCCUGGUGGUCUCUGAGGGUGAAACCUGCUAACUGCUGCAGCUCUGUCAGCUUCAGUCUCCCAUGCAGAGCUCGGAGCGCAUGUGUGGCUCUGCACCCUUAGCAGCAUUGCUAACUCCUCAGUAAGGAAAGCCUGCUUCAUGUCAGAGUCUCUAAACUCCAGAAGAAGUCGAUAAAAGUCACUUUCUUUCUAAAAAAACGUCGUUAGGGGGUCUGAAAAGUCAUUGAAUCUAACAACAAAGUCGCUAGGUUUGCAACUACGUGUCCCAGACUGCAUCCCUGCUGAGAGUCCCUCCCUCCCUUCUCAUAUUGCAGGAAGAACGUAAGCGCCCGCCCCUUGUCAAUCAGUCACCAUAUAAUUUUGGAUUGGUUGUUGUGGUGAAGUUUUCCACCAAUAGGAGAGAUGUUGUGGUGUGUUUUUUUUUUCCUUUGGCAAGCCUUUUCCGCCUGUAAGACCUGUCGCUAAUGUCUGCAUGCUAUGUUUUCCUGUCUCAUACAGCGCGAUCGAGCGCCGAACGUGAUCAAAAUAAGCAGAAAACAAGUAUCGCGGACAUAAUUUAUCAUAACUCUGGUUUUAUUUGGCCUAUCAACACAAUUUAAAAACUGGUAUAUAGGUUGAGGUCCUCACUUUUGAGAUAAGUUGAAACGGAGAGUCAACGAGGCUCCGUCUUGCAGCUACAUCCGGUUAAAUAUGUCAUGUGACUUGAACACACACACACACACACACACAGACACACACACACACACACACACACACACACACACACACACACACACACACACACACACAACCACACUCAGAGUCUGGUUUUUAGCACCUGCAAAAACAUGCUAUUUACAUAUUUGACAAGAAUGCAGAGGCUCCUUUUGCCCCUGAAAAAAAUCAAAUUUCAAACACAACUUGACUGGUCAUUUCUCCAAAAGACAACCAUGAAGCUCCAUCCAAACCUGAAGCAGGCAGUUGGUGCAUGUGUACAGUAACCUGAGGGGAGUGAGGUGACUGCUUCUGAGGAGAACAUGAGCAGUGAAGAUUCACCUUAGAGCUAGAACAGAGACGUGCACAUGAUUAUACAGGGGCAGGGGCUCAAGUUUUUUCCAGUUGUUUAUACAAUAUGGAAAUUAAUGUGAAAUUAAAAAACAAAGUAUUAAUAGAAAGGUAAUGACUGUCCUGUGUAGGUGACAGUGAUAUCCAAUAGGCUAGGCACUCACGAGGCUGGCUGUGGCAAGUGUAAGUGAAAGCAACACGCACUGGCAGGAAGAACAGCAAACGCCGAUGAAGGAAAAGGGUCUUUGCAGUGAUGGGCGUUACCAGAGAGGGCGAUGGCCAGAGGACACAAAUGGGACGGGGAGGCAGCGCGUUGGGGGGGGGACGCGACACAGCUCGGGCCCGCCAGUGCCCCAACGGGGUCCUAGUUAGGGCCCGAGCGUAGCUGCUAAGCAGCUGCGAGAGCCCUCUUGUUCCUGUAGUUUCCUUCUUUUGUUAUUAUUAGGGCCCGAGCCAGCUGCAGAGCAGCCGGGCGUAGGCCCUAUUAUUCCCCAAGUGGUUUUUCUUUGUUUCUUUCUUUCUUUCUUUCUUCUUUUUCCUCCCCUUUGAACUGGAAAAUGGCCCACUUCCCACUGGCGAAAACUCAUGAAAUUUGGCAGGACGACCGGGCCUGGUGAAAAAUUCGAUAUUCUGAAGUCACCCAAACAAUAAAAUGCAAAAUGGCUCCAUAGCGCCCCCUAAGGUGGAAAUUCACACUAUUGACUGUCACGCCUGUACGCUUUGUCAUAUUGAACCAAAAAUUGACACACAUAUGUAUCUCAAUAAGAUCUACAAAAAAGUCAGUGCGGACGUAUCUGUCAAAAUUACGGUUAAAGGGUUAUUUCGCAUUUUUUGCCGAUCCGCACACAUUGGAAUUUCGCUAACUCCUCCGAAGGCUUUCGUUCCACCGGCACCACAUUUGCUCAGGCCAAUCUACACCCCGUGGCCAUUAAAAGUUAUCAAAAUCAUGACGCUGCACCCCAAGGUUUAGGUUCUAGGGGGCGCCAAAGAUAACACUAAAAUCCACAUUCUUAAAAGUCUUAUAACUUUUUAUUUUUGUCCUCACUGGCCUCCAAGUUUUCUAGGAUGAUGCAAUGUCCAGCCAUCAACACAUUUGUGAAGGCAUUUUUACUCCCCAAAAGAGCGCCCCCCCAUGGCAGGAGAAAAAAGUCCAUUUUUUCUUGUCCCCUAAGGUGAAAAUACACAUUGUUGACUGUCACGCCUGUACGCUUUGUCAAAAUGACACAAAAAUUGACACACACAUGUAACUCAAUAAGAUCUACAAAAAAGUCCAUGCGCGCGUAUCUGUCAAAUGUACAGUUAAAGGGUUAUUCCGCAUUUUUUGCCGAUACGCACACAUUGGAAUUUCGCUAACUCCUCCUAAGGCUUUCGUUCCACCGGCACCACAUUUGCUCAGGCCAAUCUACACCCCAUGGUCAUUAAAAGUUAUUCAAAUCAUGAUGCUGCAUCCCAUGGUUUAGGUUCUAGGGGGCGCCAAAAAUAACCCAAAAAUCCACAUUCUUAAAUGUUUUAUAACUUUUUAUUUUUGUCCUCACUGGCCUCCAAGUUUUCUAGGAUGAUGCAAUGUCCAGCCAUCAACACAUUUGUGAAGGAAUUUUUACUCCCCAAAAGAGCGCCCCCCCAUGGUAGGAGAAAAAAGUCCAUUUUUUCUUGUCCCCUUACAUAAAAAUACACAUUGUUGAGUGUCACGCCUGAACGCUUUGUCAUAUUGACACAAAAAUUGACAAUCAUGUGUAUCUCAAUUAGAUCUACGAAAAAGUCAAAGAGCGCGUAUCUGUAUAAUGUACGGUUAAAGGGCUAUUUUGCAUUUUUUGCCGAUUCGCACACAUUGGAAUGUGGCUAUCUCCUCCUAAGGCUUUCGUCCCACUGAUACCAAAUUUGCUCAGGGCAAUCUACACCCCAUGCCCAUUCAAAGUUGUAAAAAUCAUGACGCUGCACCCCACGGUUUACGUUCUAGGGGGCGCCAAAGAUGACCCAAAAAUCCACAUUCUUAAAAGUCAUUUUGGCCACUGCAGGAGUACAGAGUACUGCAGUUCUAGGGGGCGCCAAAGAUGACCCAAAAAUCCACAUUCUUUAGAGUCUUUUUGGCCACUGCAGGAGUACAGAGUACUGCAGGAUACACACACAUAUACACACACGCCAACAUACACACACACACACACACACACACACACACACACACACACACCCACACUCAGAGUCUGUUUUUUAGCACCUGCAAAAACAUGCUGUUUACAUAUUUGACAAGAAUGCAGAGGCUUCCUUUUGCCCCUGAAAAAAAUCAAAUUUCAAACACAACUUGACUGUUCAUUUCUCCAAAAGACAACCAUGAAGCUCCAUUUCAAACCUGAAGCAGAUAGUUGGUGCAUGUGUACAGUAACCUGAGGGGAGUGAGGUGACUAUUUCUGAGGAGAACAUGAGCAAUGAAGAUUCACCUUGGAGCUAGAACAGGGACGUGCACAUGAUUAUACAGGGGCAGGGGCUCAAGUUUUUUCCAGUCAUUUAUACAAUAUGGAAAUUAAUGUGAAAUUAAACCACAAAUAUGUGUGAUGAACUGUUUUUAAAACUUAAACUUCAAAUAAAAAUUGUAAACUUCAAAACAUAUGCAAAUUUUUAACAAAGAACAUAGUAAUUUACCUCUAUUGACAUCAAAAUGCAGGCAAUGGCCCAGGUGUUCUUUGUAAAAUUAUUUACAAAACACUGUAUAGUCUCACAAAUGUCACUUUUUAUUUAUGCCACUACAAAAAAACAUGAUGUAAAUGAUGCAUGAUGUAAAACAUGAUGUAAAAAACUUGUGUAGAUCCUCCUCUAUGUUAGUCCAUGUGUAAUUUUUCCAUAAUUAUUUGUUUUUUGCAGCAUUUUUGUUUGUGUAACUGCAGAUUGUGCUGACAGUGUCUAUGGCAAAAAAAAAAAAAAAAAAAACUGAAAAUGCCUCAACAUGAACCCCUGGUGGUCUCUGAGGGUGAAACCUGCUAACUGCUGCAGCUCUGUCAGCUUCAGUCUCCCAUGCAGAGCUCGGAGCGCAUGUGUGGCUCUGCACCCUUAGCAGCGUUGCUAACUCCUCAGUAAGGAAAGCCUGCUUCAUGUCAGAGUCUCUAAACUCCAGAAGAAGUCGAUAAAAGUCACUUUCUUUCUAAAAAAAAGUCGUUAGGGGGUCUGAAAAGUCAUUGAAUCUAACAACAAAGUCGCUAGGUUUGCAACUACGUGUCCCAGACUGCAUCCCUGCUGAGAGUCCCUCCCUCCCUUCUCAUAUUGCAGGAAGAACGUAAGUUCCCGCCCCUUGUCAAUCAGUCACCAUAUAAUUUUGGAUUGGUUGUUGUGGUGAAGUUUUCCACCAAUAGGAGAGAUGUUGUGGUGUGUAUUUUUUUUCCUUUGGCAAGCCUUUUCCGCCUGUAAGACCUGUCGCUAAUGUCUGCAUGCUAUGUUUUCCUGUCUCAUACAGCGCGAUCGAGCGCCGAACGUGAUCAAAAUAAGCAGAAAACAAGUAUCGCGGACAUAAUUUAUCAUAACUCUGGUUUUAUUUGGCCUAUCAACACAAUUUAAAAACUGGUAUAUAGGUUGAGGUCCUCACUUUUGAGAUAAAUUGAAACGGAGAGUCAACGAGGCUCCGUCUUGCAGCUACAUCCGGUUAAAUAUGUCAUGUGACUUGAACGCACACACACACACACACACACAGACACACACACACACGCACACACACACACUCAGAGUCUGGUUUGUAGCACCUGCAAAAACAUGCUAUUUACAUAUUUGACAAGAAUGCAGAGGCUCCUUUUGCCCCUGAAAAAAAUCAAAUUUCAAACACAACUUGACUGGUCAUUUCUCCAAAAGACAACCAUGAAGCUCCAUCCAAACCUGAAGCAGGCAGUUGGUGCAUGUGUACAGUAACCUGAGGGGAGUGAGGUGACUGCUUCUGAGGAGAACAUGAGCAGUGAAGAUUUACCUUAGAGCUAGAACAGAGACGUGCACAUGAUUAUACAGGGGCAGGGGCUCAAGUUUUUUCCAGUCGUUUAUACAAUUUGGAAAUUAAUGUGAAAUUAAAAAACAAAGUAUUAAUAGAAAGGUAAUGACUGUCCUGUGUAGGUGACAGUGAUAUCCAAUAGGCUAGGCACUCACGAGGCUGGCUGUGGCAAGUGUAAGUGAAAGCAACACGCACUGGCAGGAAGAACAGCAAACGCCGAUGAAGGAAAAGGGUCUUUGCAGUGAUGGGCGUUACCAAAGAGGGCGAUGGCCAGAGGACACAAAUGGGACGGGGAGGCAGCGCGUUGGGGGGGGGACGCGACACAGCUCGGGCCCGCCAGUGCCCCAACGGGGUCCUAGUUAUUAUUUUUCCUCCCCUUUGAACUGGAAAAUGGCCCACUUCCCACUGGCGAAAACUCAUGAAAUUUGGCAGGACGACCGGGCCUGGUGAAAAAUUUGAUAUUCCGAAGUCGCCCAAACAAGAAAAUGCAAAAUGGCUCCAUAGCGCCCCCUAAGGUGAAAAUUCAAACUAUUGACUGUCACGCCUGUACGCUUUGUCAAAAUGACACAAAAAUUGACACACACAUGUAUCUCAAUAAGAUCUACAAAAAAGUCAGUGCGGGCGUAUCUGUCAAAUGUACGGUUAAAGGGUUAUUUCGCAUUUUUUGCCGAUCCGCACACAUUGGAAUUUCGCUAACUCCUCCGAAGGCUUUCGUUCCACCGGCACCACAUUUGCUCAGGCCAAUCUACACCCCAUGGCCAUUAAAAGUUAUUCAAAUCAUGACGCUGCACCCCACGGUUUAGGUUCUAGGGGGCGCCAAAGAUAACCCUAAGAUCCACAUAUUUAAAAGUCUUAUAACUUUUUAUUUUUGCCCUCACUGGCCUCCAAGUUUUCUAGGAUGAUGCAAUGUCCAGCCAUCAACACAUUUGUGAAGGAAUUUUUACUCCCCAAAAGAGCGCCCCCCCAUGGCAGGAGAAAAAAGUCAAUUUUUUCUUGUCCCCUAAGGUGAAAAUACACAUUGUUGAGUGUAACACCUGUACGCUUUGGCAAAAUGACACAAAAAUUGACACACACAUGUAUCUCAAUAAGAUCUACGAAAAAGUCAAUGCGCGCGUAUCUGUCAAAUGUACGGUUAAAGGGUUAUUCCGCAUUUUUUGCCGAUCCGCACACAUUGGAAUUUCGCUAACUCCUCCGAAGGCUUUCAUUCCACCGGUACCACAUUUGCUCAGGCCAAUCUACACCCCAUGGCCAUUAAAAGUUAUUCAAAUCAUGACGCUGCAUCCCACGGUUUUGGUUCUAGGGGGCGCCAAAGAUAACCCUAAAAUCCACAUAUUUCAAAGUCUUAUAACUUUUUAUUUUUGUCCUCACUGGCCUCCAAGUUUUCUAGGAUGAUGCAAUGUCCAGCCAUCAACACAUUUGUGAAGGAAUUUUUACUCCCCAAAAGAGCGCCCCCCCAUGGCAGGAAAAAAUAGCCAAUUUUUUCUUGUCCCCUAAGGUGAAAAUUCACACUAUUGACUGUCACGCCUGUACGCUUUAUCAUAUUGACACAAAAAUUGACACACAUAUGUAUCUCAAUAAGAUCUACAAAAGAGUCGAUUCGCGCGUAUCUGUCAAAUGUACGGUUAAAGGGCUAUUUUGCAUUUUUUGCCGAUUCGCACACAUUGGAAUGUGGCUAACUCCUCCUAAGGCUUUCGUCCCACUGACACCAAAUUUGCUCAGGCCAAUCUACACCCCAUGGCCAUUCAAAGUUGUAAAAAUCAUGACGCUGCACCCCACGGUUUACGUUCUAGGGGGCGCCAAAGAUGACCCAAAAAUCCACAUUCUUAAAAGUCAUUUUGGCCACUGCAGGAGUACAGAGUACUGCAGUUCUAGGGGGCGCCAAAGAUGACCCAAAAAUCCACAUUCUUAAAAGUCUUUUUGGCCACUGCAGGAGUACAGAGUACUGCAGGAUACACACACAUAUACACACACGCCAACAUACACACACACACACACACACACACACACACACACACACACACACACACACACACACACUCAGAGUCUGGUUUUUAGCACCUGCAAAAACAUGCUGUUUACAUAUUUGACAAGAAUGCAGAGGCUUCCUUUUGCCCCUGAAAAAAAUCAAAUUUCAAACACAACUUGACUGUUCAUUUCUCCAAAAGACAACCAUGAAGCUCCAUUUCAAACCUGAAGCAGAUAGUUGGUGCAUGUGUACAGUAACCUGAGGGGAGUGAGGUGACUAUUUCUGAGGAGAACAUGAGCAGUGAAGAUUCACCUUGGAGCUAGAACAGGGACGUGCACAUGAUUAUACAGGGGCAGGGGCUCAAGUUUUUUCCAGUCAUUUAUACAAAAUGGAAAUUAAUGUGAAAUUAAACCACAAAUAUGUGUGAUGAACUGUUUUUAAAACUUAAACUUCAAAUAAAAAUUGUAAACUUCAAAACAUAUGCAAAUUUUUAACAAAGAACAUAGUAAUUUACCUCUAUUUACAUCAAAAUGCAGGCAAUGGCCCAGGCGUUCUUUGUAAAAUUAUUUACAAAACACUGUAUAGUCUCACAAAUGUCACUUUUUAUUUAUGCCACUACAAAAAAACAUGAUGUAAAUGAUGCAUGAUGUAAAACAUGAUGUAAAAAACUUGUGUAGAUCCUCCUCUAUGUCAGUCCAUGUGUAAUUUUUCCAUAAUUCUUUGUUUUUUUGCAGCAUUUUUGUUAGUGUAACUGCAGAUUGUGCUGACAGUGUCUAUGGCACAAAAAAAAAAAAAAUUAAAAUGCCUCAACAUGAACCCCUGGUGGUCUCUGAGGGUGAAACCUGCUAACUGCUGCAGCUCUGUCAGCUUCAGUCUCCCAUGCAGAGCUCGGAGCGCAUGUGUGGCUCUGCACCCUUAGCAGCGUUGCUAACUCCUCAGUAAGGAAAGCCUGCUUCAUGUCAGAGUCUCUAAACUCCAGAAGAAGUCGAUAAAAGUCCCUUUCUUUCUAAAAAAAAGUCGUUAGGGGGUCUGAAAAGUCAUUGAAUCUAACAACAAAGUCGCUGGUUUGCAACUACGUGUCCCAGACUGCAUCCCUGCUGAGAGUCCCUCCCUCCCUUCUCAUGUUGCAGGAAGAACGUAAGCGCCCGCCCCUUGUCAAUCAGUCACCAUAUAAUUUUGGAUUGGUUGUUGUGGUGAAGUUUUCCACCAAUAGGAGAGAUGUUGUGGUGUUUUUUUUUUUUCUUUUGGCAAGCCUUUUCCGCCUGUAAGACCUGUCGCUAAUGUCUGCAUGCUAUGUUUUCCUGUCUCAUACAGCGCGAUCGAGCGCCGAACGUGAUCAAAAUAAGCAGAAAAAAAGUAUUGCGGACAUAAUUUAUCAUAACUCUGGUUUUAUUUGGCCUAUCAACACAAUUUAAAAACUGGUAUAUAGGUUGAGGUCCUCACUUUUGAGAUAAGUUGAAACGGAGAGUCAACGAGGCUCCGUCUUGCAGCUUCAUCCGGUUAAAUAUGUCAUGUGACUUGAACGCACACACAGACACACACACACACACACACACACACACACACACACUCAGAGUCUGGUUUUUAGCACCUGCAAAAACAUGCUAUUUACAUAUUUGACAAGAAUGCAGAGGCUCCUUUUGCCCCUGAAAAAAAUCAAAUUUCAAACACAACUUGACUGGUCAUUUCUCCAAAAGACAACCAUGAAGCUCCAUCCAAACCUGAAGCAGGCAGUUGGUGCAUGUGUACAGUAACCUGAGGGGAGUGAGGUGAGUGCUUCUGAGGAGAACAUGAGCAGUGAAGAUUCACCUUGGAGCUAGAACAGAGACAUGCACAUGAUUAUACAGGGGCAGGGGCUCAAGUUUUUUCCAGUCGUUUAUACAAUAUGGAAAUUAAUGUGAAAUUAAAACACAAAGUAUUAAUAGAAAGGUAAUGACUGUCCUGUGUAGGUGACAGUGAUAUCCAAUAGGCUAGGCACUCACGAGGCUGGCUGUGGCAAGUGUAAGUGAAAGCAACACGCACUGGCAGGAAGAACAGCAAACGCCGAUGAAGGAAAAGGGUCUUUGCAGUGAUGGGCGUUACCAGAGAGGGCGAUGGCCAGAGGACACAAAUGGGACGGGAAGGCAGCACGUUGGGGGGGGGGGGGGACGGGGGGGGGGGGGGGGGGGACGCGACACGGCUCGGGCCCGCCAGUGCCCCAACGGGGUCCUAGUUAGGGCCCGAGCGUAGCUGCUAAGCAGCUGCGAGAGCCCUCUUGUUCCUGUAGUUUCCUUCUUUUGUUAUUAUUAUUUUUCCUCCCCUUUGAACUGGAAAAUGGCCCACUUCCCACUGGCGAAAACUCAUGAAAUUUGGCAGGACGACCGGGCCUGGUGAAAAAUUUGAUAUUCCGAAGUCGCCCAAACAAGAAAAUGCAAAAUGGCUCCAUAGCGCCCCCUAAGGUGAAAAUUCACACUAUUGACUGUCACGCCUGUACGCUUUGUCAAAAUGACACAAAAAUUGACACACACAUGUAUCUCAAUAAGAUCUACAAAAAAGUCAGUGCGGGCGUAUCUGUCAAAUGUACGGUUAAAGGGUUAUUUCGCAUUUUUUUCCGAUCCGCACACAUUGGAAUUUCGCUAACUCCUCCGAAGGCUUUCGUUCCACCGGCACCACAUUUGCUCAGGCCAAUCUACACCCCAUGGCCAUUAAAAGUUAUUCAAAUCAUGACGCUGCACCCCACGGUUUAGGUUCUAGGGGGCGCCAAAGAUAACCCAAAAAUCCACAUAUUUAAAAGUCUUAUAACUUUUUAUUUUUGCCCUCACUGGCCUCCAAGUUUUCUAGGAUGAUGCAAUGUCCAGCCAUCAACACAUUUGUGAAGGAAUUUUUACUCCCCAAAAGAGCGCCCCCCCAUGGCAGGAGAAAAAAGUCCAUUUUUUCUUGUCCCCUAAGGUGAAAAUUCACACUAUUGACUGUCACGCCUGUACGCUUUGUCAAAAUGACACAAAAAUUGACACACACAUGUAUCUCAAUAAGAUCUACAAAAAAGUCCAUGCGCGCGUAUCUGUCUAAUGUACGGUUAAAGGGUUAUUCCGCAUUUUUUUGCCGAUUCGCACACAUUGGAAUUUCGCUAACUCCUCCGAAGGCUUUCGUUCCACCGGCACCACAUUUGCUCAGGCCAAAUUACACCCCAUGGCCAUUAAAAGUUAUUCAAAUCAUGACGCUGCACCCCACGGUUUACGUUCUAGGGGGCGCCAAAGAUAACCCAAAAAUCCACAUUUUUAAAAGUCUUUUAACUUUUUAUUUUUGUCCUCACUGGCCUCCAAGUUUUCUAGGAUGAUGCAAUGUCCAGCCAUCAACACAUUUGUGAAGGAAUUUUUUUUCCCUAAAAGAGCGCCCCCCCAUGGCAGGAGAAAAAAGUCCAUUUUUUCUUGUCCCCUAAGGUGAAAAUACACAUUGUUGACUGUCACGCCUGUACGCUUUGGCAAAAUGACACAAAAAUUGACAAUCAUGUGUAUCUCAAUUAGAUCUACGAAAAAGUCAAAGAGCGCGUAUCUGUAUAAUGUACGGUAAAAGGGCUAUUUUGCAUUUUUUGCCAAUUCGCACACAUUGGAAUUUCGCUAACUCCUCCUAAGGCCUUCGUCCCACUGACACCAAAUUUGCUCAGGCCAAUCUACACUCCAUGGCCAUUCAAAGUUGUAAAAAUCAUGACGCUGCACCCCACGGUUUACGUUUUAGGGGGCGCCAAAGAUGACCCAAAUAUACAUUACAGUAGACAAAGUAGUUUUGCCCACUGAGUGGCGCCAAAGGGACUUGUCUGUGGAGUCUGUGAGUCACUAUUGGCCGUUUUUGACUACUUUAGAUUUUACCUUUUAUAUUUCCUCUUAAAAUUUUUACCUUGCCUUGCCUGGUAUCAUUUUUUUCAGCACAACCUCACCUGUGUCAAUUUACAGUUAUUUUAUCAUUUUGACAUACUAUAUUUACACAAUGGACCCAAAUUCACACACAAAACAUAAAAUCCGAGUGGAAAAAAGUAACAUUUUUACUGUGAAAACCACAAAUAUGUGUGAUGAACUGUUUUUAAAACUUAAACUUCAAAUAAAAAUUGUAAACUUCAAAACAUAUGCAAAUUUUUAACAAAGAACAUAGUGAUUUACCUCUAUUUACAUCAAAAUGCAGGCAAUGGCCCAGGCGUUCUUUGUAAAAUUAUUUACAAAACACUGUAUAGUCUCACAAAUGUCACUUUUUAUUUAUGCCACUACAAAAAAACAUGAUGUAAAUGAUGCAUGAUGUAAAACAUGAUGUAAAAAACUUGUGUAGAUCCUCCUCUAUGUCAGUCCAUGUGUAAUUUUUCCAUAAUUCUUUGUUUUUUGCAGCAUUUUUGUUAGUGUAACUGCAGAUUGUGCUGACAGUGUCUAUGGCACAAAAAAAAAAAAAAAUUUAAAAUGCCUCAACAUAAACCCCUGGUGGUCUCUGAGGGUGAAACCUGCUAACUGCUGCAGCUCUGUCAGCUUCAGUCUCCCAUGCAGAGCUCUGAGCGCAUGUGUGGCUCUGCACCCUUAGCAGCGUUGCUAACUCCUCAGUAAGGAAAGCCUGCUUCAUGUCAGAGUCUCUAAACUCCAGAAGAAGUCGAUAAAAGUCCCUUUCUUUCUAAAAAAAAGUCGUUAGGGGGUCUGAAAAGUCAUUGAAUCUAACAACAAAGUCGCUAGGUUUGCAACUACGUGUCCCAGACUGCAUCCCUGCUGAGAGUCCCUCCCUCCCUUCUCAUGUUGCAGGAAGAACGUAAGCGCCCGCCCCUUGUCAAUCAGUCACCAUAUAAUUUUGGAUUGGUUGUUGUGGUGAAGUUUUCCACCAAUAGGAGAGAUGUAGUGGUGUGUUUUUUUUUUUCUUUUGGCAAGCCUUUUCCGCCUGUAAGGAGAGGUGACCAGAUGCAGCGCAAGAUGGCGGACCCAAAGAUAGAAAACCACAUUUACAAAACGCAAUAAGUUUCCGCGUUACCUCCGAUUGGCGGACCCAAAACAAUUACUUCCGGUGGAAAGGCUUUCUCGUUGGCGGACUUCCGGCGCCAAAAUACUUCAGGUAGUCGGAUUUAGUCGCCGGAUCCUUUUUUUUUUUUUGCUCCGUUCAUUCCAUAAGAAUCGAAUUAAAUUUAUUAUUGAGCUAAAAAUCAAAAUAAAACGUUUAUGUAUUAAUUAUGACUACUGUUUCGUUCUGAUUUAAUUCUGAAGUUUACAGUAAUAUGUAUAUAUAGCCUGAUGUCCUCAUAUUCUGAUAAUUUGUCAGAAUAGGUAAAUGUAUGUAGAAGUUAUCAUCUUACUCAAAUUCUUUUGUAAGAGUUUGCUACAAGUAUGGACUGUUUUAACCUCUCGUUACACAUCAUAUAACAGUGUUUUCUAACUUUUCUCUCCAAUAGCUUUAUUACACAGCACAUCAAUGUUUCUUAACUUCUCUGUGACCUUGUUUCUCCACUCCUAUUAGGACCUCGUUUAAUGUCAACAAUGUUGCCCUGACCCUCACAUAUUUUCUGUUGUUCAUAAUUAUGUUUUAUGAGAGUGCUUAUGUUGCUGCACAAAUUUACUCCCCCCAUCCUUUAGUAACAUUGUGUAACCAGGGACAUAAUUUAUGAAAUGGUGUGCUUCCUGGUGAACCUCUUCAGGAUUGCUUGACUGUGCAAAAUCCAAGUAUACAAUAGUUGUAGAGACACAAGUCACAUGAUCUCUUUAAGGUUCAGAAGAGCCAUAUAGCAAAAACAAUUGAAUAGCGAUAUCAUUACAGACUGUGUAAAGAAAUGGGAAAUUGUCAUACAACUGCUUUGAAGAUUUCUUUAAUUUUUUCCAAACAAAAUUGUGAACAGUAAAAAAAAAUAUAAUCGUAUAUACAUAAUUUAGAGCGUUGCCGUCGGUGUGGUGGGGGGCUUAAAACACGUUGCCACAGGCCAUCAUCAGCUCUGCUCUGAACCGGUUGAUGCCAUGCUCCUUCAGUGCUUUGAUCAAAAGCUGAAAAACAGUCAAAUAAUGUGAACAAUUGAAGUUAUGCAGUAUGGGUUAAUUGUUGUUCUUGAGCUUUCCAAAUGAAUAAGAACAACCUCUUAACAAUAUCAUCAAUUUUCAAAGCAAGCUAUAUAGUUUGAUCUACUCACCUCUGGGAGCAUGACGUCAAAAACGAAAUCAAGCAGAUGAAUCUCGCCUCUCUUUAUUUUUUUAGAAAUGUUUGUUGCCACCUCAAUGAACCGCAGGAGCUCGAACAUCUAUUGAAGAAAAACACAGAAAGUAAACACCUUUCAAAUGUAACACCUCUGAGAGUAAAAAUACUCAUGAUGGAUGGCAUUUUUACUUACGCGCUGCUCACUCCAACUUAGUGUCCUUAUCUUAAGAUGCUGCUUUAGUCGGAGUGAGGUGGCGGGAUUCCUCCAAAGAAACAUCCUGUUGGAGCGGAUCUUUCCAGACAGUAGAUCAUCGUGUAAUGUCUGAAACCAAAGAGCAAGAGACAAAAAUGUAAUCAUCAGAAAAAGAAACGGUGGCUUUAACAACUGAUAGUGCAUUCAAAAGCAACCUUGAUCUGUGUCUUAGAAAAGACAGCAUGAAUUCCUCAACUGUCAACAGCAUCCUUGAUCCUGCAGAGAAAUAAGAAAAGAGCAAGCCCUCAUUUUUUCAUCCUUUGAGCCUCGUAUUUUUGACUGAUACUAUGUUUCCUUGAUAAAUUAUGUUAUACCGAGGAUGCUCAAUGGAGUCCUCGCCCCGCAGUCAAACGGCUCCAUUUCAAUCCCAGCACAAUCCUGAUGCAGCCAGCCCCUGCACGUCUUGCACUGGACCCAUUUUAUGACGUUUACCUCAGGGUAAAGCAAUCUGAUCAAAUGAGAGACAAACAUAAUAUUAAACAAACAUGCUGUCCAAUUGAUUAUACCUCUACAGCACAUUUGAAUGUAUAAAUAAUUUUCCUGCAUGAUUCGUGCAUUUAAACUAUAUGUAAAAGUGGUCACUUCAUGGAAAAUCACUGAAUAGGCCCCGAUAAUUGCAUUUAUUAAAUUGAGUCUGCAACACACCUCUCUCCUGUGUUGUUCGAUGUCUGGUAGACACAGAAUUGCAUUGAAUCUGCCAUGCACAUUCUUUGGACAUCCGAUACCGUCUGCGUCAUGGUUUCCUUGACAAGGCAAUUUGAAAAGUAACAUCAAUUACCAAAUACAUCGAGACAAUGUUGAGCCAUACAACUGUGUGCAUUUUGAAGGACUCCCACUGAGAUAAUACUGUUUUUACAAGGCAAUUUUCUAACCUCUAUGUCCUGCUGCUCCGCCUUCCUCUUUAGACUGAAGACUGGAGUAUGCUUUCCAGCAAUGAGCUCUUGACAUUCUUUGGUCCAGUGGGCGAAGAUUUUCCCACAACUGUAAUGACAAUAUGUCUUUAAGUACAAUAUAUUGAUUGUCUUCCAGUUAAUUAGGACAUCUAGUUUACUUAAACUGUCUACCUGUUCAAAGAAUUGUUCUCCAGGAGCAACAGGCACCACCAUCGCCGCCAAACAGGCAUGUCAUGCUGAAAUUGUUGUUUGUAUUUCAUUUUAGUGCACAAUACAAAAUACAAUCUUGAGGAUGACACUGCGUGUUGAAAAGUACUUACAACUGAGUAGUCAAACUGUGACUCCAUAACGAUGUACAUGGCAGACUUAAAAAAAAAAUUAUGAGACAACAUGUGAGAUAACUUUAAAAAAGUCCAUGUUGGAAAGUUAUUCUAGAUACAAUAUUUGUGCAUUACAGCUCGUUAUGACCUACCAUCAACAUGAAUAUGCCACAGUCUGAGCCGAAGUCCUGGCUGGGGAAGCCCUGAUUUAACAAAAGCAAACGUUAAUCAUCUUGUCACAUACACUUUGUAGGAGCCAGAUUGGGGUUUUGCAGUUUAUUGUUAUGUAUUUUUUGUGCCAGCAGAUGGUGCUAUUGUGCCUGUCUAUUUAAUGGGUGGGUUGAUUAGGAGAGGUGCGCACAUAAAAUGAUGAAUGAGUAAAUAAAUCAAAACAACAGAAAAUGUGUGUGACAUGUGACAUUAUUCCACCCGCGGGCACGCAUCAACUCAAGCAAAAAGGUGUUCGCCACAAGUAACAGCAUUGGAAAGCUGUUAUACACUUUUCAACUGUAAUAUAGAGCAUGCACAAAUACCUCCAAAUCUCUGCCCGUUUUCUCAGUCCAUUGCCCAGGCCAUAUCUUCUGCGCAAUGUUCCUGUUAAUUUGAGAGCGUCACUUAGAUUUCCCAUGAUGGAAACAAUGGAAUGCAGGGUUAGGGUUAGUUUGAGUGGUCGGAGGUGAGAUUGAAUGAAUGCGGACGGCUUGCUUCUUUUCAAACUUCCUGAGAGUUCUUCUUCUUCUGUAAAUUUUGCCGUCAGAAAGUGUAGGUGCAUACCGCCACCUACUGUUCUGGCAUCGCAAAGCAGAAGUUCAAAGUUCAUGUUUUGGGUCCGCCAAUCGGAGGUAAUGCGGAAACUUAUUGC